rnacentral:rRNA from 1 species
ACGGCCAUACCAUGCUGAAUAUACCGGUUCUCGUUAAGAUCACCGAAGUCAAGCAUCAUUGGGCGCGGUCAGUACUGGGGCGGGUGACCACUCUGGAACACCGCGUGCCGUU